rnacentral:rRNA from 1 species
AAUAUUGCACAAUUGGCGAAAGCCUGAUGCAGCAACGCCGCGUGAUCGAAGUAUGCCUUCUGGUCGUAAAGCUCUUUUAUCAGGGAUAAUAAUGACAGUACCUGAAAAACAAGCCUCGGCUAACUACGUUCCAGCAGCCUCGGUAAUACGUAGGUGGCGAGCGUUGUCCGGAAUUACUGGGCGUAAAGGAUGCGUAGGUGGAUACUUAAGUGGGAUGUGAAAUCCCCGGGCUAAACCCGGGAACUGCAUUCCAAACUGGGUAUCUAGAGUGCAGGAGAGGAAAGCGGAAUUCCUAGUGUAGCGGUGAAAUGCGUAGAUAUUAGGAGGAACACCAGUGGCGAAGGCGGCUUUCUGGAAUGUAACUGACACUGAGGCAUGAAAGCGUGGGUAGCAAACAGG